UACAGAGGGGGCAAGCGUUAUUCGGAAUUAUUGGGCGUAAAGGGCGCGUAGGCGGCUUGGCAAGUGGAUGGUGAAAUCCCUCGGCUUAACCGAGGAACUGCCAUCCAGACUGCUUUGCUUGAGGCCGGGAGAGGUGAGUGGAAUUCAUGGUGUAGCAGUGAAAUGCGUAGAGAUCAUGAGGAAGACCAGUGGCGAAGGCGGGUCUCUGGACAGUUCCUGACACUGAGACACGAAGGCCAGGGGAGCAAACGGG
rnacentral:rRNA from 1 species